rnacentral:rRNA from 1 species
GUCUAUGCGCCAAAUCACCCUAAAUCCGCUCAAUCUCAUAAGAUCUAGGAAACUAAGCAGAGUUAAGCCUUGUUAGUACUCGGAUGGGUUGCCCAACAGUGCUUGCCAGGUGUUGUAGGCG